CUCCCUGUGGCUCAGUUGGUAGAGCAUGGUGUGUGCAACGCCAGGGUUGUGGGUUUGAUUCCCACGGGGGGC
rnacentral:tRNA from 1 species